rnacentral:rRNA from 1 species
AGGCAGCAGUAGGGAAUCUUCCGCAAUGGGCGAAAGCCUGACGGAGCAACGCCGCGUGAGUGAUGAAGGUCUUCGGAUCGUAAAACUCUGUUAUUAGGGAAGAACAUAUGUGUAAGUAACCGUGCACAUCUUGACGGUACCUAAUCAGAAAGCCACGGCUAACUACGUGCCAGCAGCCGCGGUAAUACGUAGGUGGCAAGCGUUAUCCGGAAUUAUUGGGCGUAAAGCGCGCGUAGGCGGUUUUUUAAGUCUGAUGUGAAAGCCCACGGCUCAACCGUGGAGGGUCAUUGGAAACUGGAAAACUUGAGUGCAGAAGAGGAAAGUGGAAUUCCAUGUGUAGCGGUGAAAUGCGCAGAGAUAUGGAGGAACACCAGUGGCGAAGGCGACUUUCUGGUCUGUAACUGACGCUGAUGUGCGAAAGCGUGGGGAUCAAACAGGAUUAGAUACCCUGGUAGUCCACGCCGUAAACGAUGAGUGCUAAGUGUUAGGGGGUUUCCGCCCCUUAGUGCUGCAGCUAACGCAUUAAGCACUCCGCCUGGGGAGUA